AUGCUCACAUCAGCAGCACAUAUACUAAAACUGGGAGGGUGCAGAGAAGAUUAGCAUGGUCCCUGCACAAGGAUGGCACGUGUGUGAAGCAGUCCAUGUUUUU
ensembl:snRNA U6 U6 spliceosomal RNA